UCCUGGUUGGCCCAGGCAGUCUUGUUUGAAAAAUACAACAAACAACAAGGGUUUCGCUCGUUGCCGGACUUAACCGAACAUCUCACGACACGAGCUGAGGACGGCCAUGCAACACCUGUCACUGGGUUCCCGAAGGCACUCCGACGUUUCUGCCGGAUUCCCAGGAUGUCAAGCCUUGGUAAGGUUCUUCGCGUAGCAUCGAAUUAAACCACAUGCUCCACCGCUUGUGCGGGUCCCCGUCAAUUCCUUUGAGUUUUAGCCUUGCGGCCGUACUCCCCAGGCGGGAUGCUUAACGCGUUAGCUUCGCAACGCAGAGGGUCGAUACUCCACACUACUAGCAUCCAUCGUUUACGGCGUGGACUAC
rnacentral:misc_RNA from 1 species